AGCUUUGCGCAGUGGCAGUAUCAUAGCCAAUGAGGUUUAUCCGAGGCGUGAUUAUUGCUAAUUGAAAACUUUUCCCCAGCAAUUAAGUGUUUCACUGUCAGGAAGAGUUUAAUGUUAGUCAUUUUGGAGAUUUAACUUUGCCUUUCCUCCUCAUAUUUUCUGUAAAGAUUUAUUUAUU
rnacentral:snRNA from 11 species